CCGGGAUCUUCUACUCCCACGAAAGAGUCGAGAACCCAGGUCCCACGGAGACAGGGCGCCACCUCAGCUCCCGUGAGCCAGGCCUCUCCUUGCCAACCGUGCUCAGCCGYCGUCAGUCCAUCAGCCUAGAGGGUUGAAGACCCAAAGCACAAUGAGGUGGUCCUGCUUUCCAGAGGGCAGCUCAGCAGCAGGUUUUUAAUCUUGAUGAAGUCAGCUUAUCAGUUCUCUCUUCCAUGGAUCGUACCUUUGAUAUUGCUGUUUAAAAAGUUACCACCAGACCCAARUCACCUGGGUCUCCUCCUGUUAUCUGCGGGGAAUUCUCUAGACUCUAGGAUCAGUGUGUUGAUGACUACAAAAUAACUUGCUGAGUGUGCCAUCACAUUUCCACGACGGUGACAAAGAUACGGGAGAAACCAACUUAAGGG